AGAAUCUGGCCUCUAAGGUCCUUAUGAAGGUGUACUCCUUAAGAACGCAAACAGCAAUGCCAUUUCCAUCUUGAGGAAGUGUAAUGAGGGAACCAGCAAUGCUGGUUUCAGUGUCUCAGUUUGGCUGGAAAGGAUUUAAUCCUGAUGCUGCAACAUUAACUUUCUGAGCAUAUGCUGUAUCCCCGGGGAAGAUGACAGUCAAGGGAAUCUUGAACUUCUUGGAAAAUGAGAAAAUUAAGGGCUUCUUUUAAAAGGCCAACUCCAAAGCACUGGUUAAUAGUUAUAAAAAUGUUUCACAGUGCUCCAUGUCGGCUUCCCCCUGAAAAUCCAUGAUAAAGAUUGAGCGUGGUUGAAACGCUUGUCAUGCGUAUGGGAGUAGCAUAGUAAGAUCCUGGCAGGAGCACUGUUCACAAUAGCAAAGACUUGGAAUCAACCCAGAUGCCCAUCAGUGAUAGACUGGAUAAAGAAAAUGUGGUCCAUAUAUACCAUGGAAUACUAUGCAACCAUAAAAAGGAACAAGACCAUAUCCUUUGCAGGGACAUGGAUGAAGCUGGAAACCGUUAUCCUCAGCAAACUGAUGCAGGAACAGAAAACCAAACACUGCCUGUUCUCACUUAUAAGUGGGAGCUGAAUGAUGAGCACACAUGGACACAUGGGGGAACAACACACACUGGGGCCUAUUGGGGGGUUGUGGGGAGGGAGAGC